AGGCCCUGACAAUACUAAACACUAGUACAGUGUUUCCAAAAUCGUCUGUGUUUGAUUAUGAGAAAAUGUGAUCGAUUGCUUGGUCAUUUGGUCACUGCGACCAAUCUUCGAAUUAUUUCAGUUAACCGGAACAUCACUACUGAGUACUGGUACCUCUCAGGAAGUAUCACACACAUGGUAUGAUCUGACACCAAAGACAUUUCAUGCUUUAAUUCCUUGGCCGUUUAUACUCUUGGAUGUGAACCUGGUGCUGCUGUUUGCCAGCUGACACCGGUGGAUUAGAUAUCAUGAAAUACUGUUGGAAGCUGGGUUCAAACCUUCUUACUCACUCACUCACUCUGCAACUAGUUGUGACUGUCACAGUGUGUGCCAAAUCAAUAACUAUGACCAAAUAAUGGCAGACCGACCUGUGAGACAGAGGCUAAAAUACCUGCUGUUUCUAUGGCAUUUCUAAAUUUACUGAAUGACAUCUCCUUAUACACAAAUAUGGCCUCUGUUACAACUCAUGUUUUAAAGCCAGUUAAUGAGAAACCAAGUAUUACUUUUUGCUCAAAAUAUGAAUUCUUUGUUUAGUGUUCCUGACUUGUACAAUUAUUUACAUAUUUACCAUUUAUCAAGACUUGUGUGUGGUUGUAUGGUUGUGACCUAGUGUGGCUAUAGUGUAAUAGUUGUGUGCUGAAUCAGAUGUGAGUUGGUCAGUUGGCUUAGAAGAUGGCUCCAUAUUCCAUUAUCAAUAACAUUGAGUGUUCCUGUGUCUUAGAUAAUGUAAUGAAACAUGAUUAAUCAGUUUACAAUAGUCAGGUCUACCAACUUGUCUCAGUGUAAAGUAGUAAGUUGGCUUAUGCCUGUAAUGAAUUCAUGAAGAAAUUUUCAUCCUAGUAUGUUUCUCCUCCAACCCUGUGGGAAGAGCUGGUUCUAGGACAUAGAGUAGCAUGUAGGGGUGAUACAUUCAGGUGGUACAUUCAGGUGAUACAUAGGGUGAUGUGGGGAUGAUACGUUCAGGUGAUACAUAGGGGUGAUACAUCCAUGUUGUACAUGGGGAUGAUACAUUCAGGUGGUACAUGGGGUGACAUUAGGGGGUGAUACGUUCAGGUGAUACAUAGGGGUGAUACAUCCAUGCUGUACAUGGGGAUAUGUUCAGGUGAUACAUAGGGGUGAUACAUUCAGGUGGUACGUGGGGUGACAUGUAAGUGUGAUACAUAGGAGUGACAUGUAGGGGUGAUACAUAGGGGUAACAUAUAGGGUUAUAUGUUCUGGUGAUACAUAUGGGUGACAUGUAGGGGUGAUACAUUCAGGUGAUAAACAGGGGUGACAUGUAAGGGUAAUGUUUCCGUUUCAAUUUGGAAUUUAGUGUCUUACGAAGGUUAUUUUUUUCAUUUUUUUGUGAUAAUAUAUUGUCUUAAGGAGUGGUUGUAACUCAUAAGAAAAGUUUGUGCAAGGGGACCCAUUUACAGUUACUUCUACUUAAUGCCACACAUCUUGUUGCUGCAAUGGUUCUGUUUAUUUCCUGUAAUGCUGCAACAUGAGUCCAGUGAUAUUUUAUAUGAUCACCUUACUCAUAUUUCAGGCCUACUUACAUGAUUUCAUUACAUGUUCAUGAUUGCCCUUCAUCACUAUCACCUCUUUCUGUAACCUCGAAAAUGGCUUGUUCUAGGACAGUCAGUUUCUAGCAAAAUACAUUUGUAAAAGUGAAAUGCUCCCUGUCUCAUUUAUGACAGUGGAUGAAAUCUAAUAAAGAAUUUAUAUUCGCUGUAUGGGAAAUGUUUAUGUGACUAAUCUAUCUUGUAUAUAGCUUCUGAUAGGAAGUAAAUGAUCACUCAAGCCAAGUGGAGAUCCAGUUGUACAGCCUCAUUCUGAUCGGACCAGCCUCACUCUGACUGGGCCAGCCUCAUUCUGAUUUGGCCAGGUCACUCUGACUGGGCCAGCCUCACUUCUUCCAUUGCUUGCCUUUGAACAACAUACACCUCAUAAUGAAGCGCAUGAUCUUUAUCUGGUGUGAUUGCUCAUAAUGGUGAUCUAUGUUUGUUUCAUGGUUGUUGAAGUGAAUGGAUUCAAGAAAUGAUAUUGUACAUCACCUCACAUUCUCAAAUCCAGGGAUAUGGCAUUCUGUGUGGCUCUGCUAUUUCCAUGGAGAUCUAGAGCUGGAAAACUAUUUGUUCAUUGCUGACUUUGUCACAAGAGCUGCAAUGCAGAGCAAACAAAUAUACAACCUACCUGUAGGAAAGUUUCCCAAAGCCAUUAAAUGGAUCCACACAAUGAGUCCCAAGCCCUGAGUGCAGAUUGGCUGGUGUAGCCUCUAUCCAGGGGGUUAGAGGAGAUACAAAGCAUAACAUAUCCCUGGCUUUCAGGAUGAUUACAGCACUUAUACAACUGUUUUAGUGCUCAUUCUGUCAACAUACUCUUUUCAAUACUUUGUUAAUGAAUUAUUACUUGAAAUUGGAAUUUGUUGAAAUGUUGGUUUUAAGCAUAUUUCAUUGUCAGUGAGACAGUAGGAUAAAACAUGAGCAAUAAAUAUUUGAUGCCUUCUUGAAAUGUGUUUCUCAGGAUAAUUAACUGAUUUACGGUUUCAUUCGUGUUGAGAAAAGAAUUGCAUGAAGCAGUACAUCAGUAUUUCUGACUCGCUGUAAAAUGGUGAACAGGUGAACUUGUUAGAAAUCAGUAAUUGAAAUGUUAAAACUUUUUCACUUUUCGGUAUUGUUAUGUUUCUAGAAGUGCAGUUAUGACACCAGACACACACAGUAUGUCGGGACCAGUCAGUUACAAGGUAGUGGUAUUGUUUAUUUGUUUAAGGUUGUUCUGAAAAUUGUAAUAUACCUAUUUUCAGUAAGUUAAGCAGCUGUAUAUUAUUAUACACUUAUCCUGACAGAUUGACUUGAAUGAGUAUGAAAGAAUCAUGAAUUAAGAUUAAAACCAAGAAUGUAUUUGGUGACCUUCUGAACCUUGUAACAUAUGACUGGUCUCAGUGUCUGGUAAAACAAAAAAUGAAAACAAAAAAAUGGAUAAAUCAUGAUUUUAUCAAUUAUUUGUUGUAACUAGGGAACAGUUCCAUCUGACUGUAUGAGUUUGUGUAUGUUUGUUUCAUCACCUGCUUACAAAGCGACAUGUCCAUGUGUUAGUCUUCGUCUCAAGGUUGUCUCGUUUCUUGAAAUGGAUGUCUAUCAAGACAUCUAAAAAUUACUUCAUAGUGCUAUUUUAGGACACUUUAUUGAUUUCUUUUCAAUUCUUCUUGAUGCUAUCACCUGUUUGCAUAAAUCUUGAUUUUAUGGUAAUAAAGUUGAUUAACUUUA